AACGCACCUUGCGCUCCCAGGUUAUUCCUGGGAGCAUGUUCGUUGGAGUGUCGCCUAUCUUUCUCAAUCCCGCCCUUUUCACGAGAGGCCGCCAGGGUUGGAUCGUGGCGCUUUGCCUCUGCAAAGAGGCUGCGCUGAAUUGCAACAAGCUGUACCUUUGUACUUGGCGGCUUGACCCGUUGUCAUAAGCUCACACUUUCAACGGGGACGCCAGUCGGGAUGGGCUUACCAGAAACGCUGAUACCUACUAUGACCUCCAAUCGAGCAGGACUACCCCCUGAACUUAA
rnacentral:misc_RNA from 1 species